AAAUUGAAGAGUUUGAUCAUGGCUCAGAUUGAACGCUGGCGGCAGGCCUAACACAUGCAAGUCGAGCGGUAGCACAGAGAGCUUGCUCUCGGGUGACGAGCGGCGGACGGGUGAGUAAUGUCUGGGAAACUGCCUGAUGGAGGGGAUAACUACUGGAAACGGUAGCUAAUACCGCAUAACGUCGCAAGACCAAAGUGGGGACCUUCGGGCCUCAUGCCAUCAGAUGUGCCCAGAUGGGAUUAGCUAGUAGGUGGGGUAACGGCUCACCUAGGCGACGAUCCUAGCUGGUCUGAGAGGAUGACCAGCCACACUGGAACUGAGACACGGUCCAGACUCCUACGGGAGGCAGCAGUGGGGAAUAUUGCACAAUGGGCGCAAGCCUGAUGCAGCCAUGCCGCGUGUGUGAAGAAGGCCUUCGGGUUGUAAAGCACUUUCAGCGGGGAGGAAGGCGUUAAGGUUAAUAACCUUGGCGAUUGACGUUACCCGCAGAAGAAGCACCGGCUAACUCCGUGCCAGCAGCCGCGGUAAUACGGAGGGUGCAAGCGUUAAUCGGAAUUACUGGGCGUAAAGCGCACGCAGGCGGUCUGUCAAGUCGGAUGUGAAAUCCCCGGGCUCAACCUGGGAACUGCAUUCGAAACUGGCAGGCUAGAGUCUUGUAGAGGGGUAGAAUUCCGGUGUAGCGGUGAAAUGCGUAGAGAUCUGGAGGAAUACCGGUGGCGAAGGCGGCCCCUGGACAAAGACUGACGCUCAGGUGCGAAAGCGUGGGGAGCAAACAGGAUUAGAUACCCUGGUAGUCCACGCCGUAAACGAUGUCGAUUUGGAGGUUGUGCCCUUGAGGCGUGGCUUCCGGAGCUAACGCGUUAAAUCGACCGCCUGGGGAGUACGGCCGCAAGGUUAAAACUCAAAUGAAUUGACGGGGCCCGCACAAGCGGUGGAGCAUGUGGUUUAAUUCGAUGCAACGCGAAGAACCUUACCUGGUCUUGACAUCCACAGAACUUUCCAGAGAUGGAUUGGUGCCUUCGGGAACUGUGAGACAGGUGCUGCAUGGCUGUCGUCAGCUCGUGUUGUGAAAUGUUGGGUUAAGUCCCGCAACGAGCGCAACCCUUAUCCUUUGUUGCCAGCGGUUCGGCCGGGAACUCAAAGGAGACUGCCAGUGAUAAACUGGAGGAAGGUGGGGAUGACGUCAAGUCAUCAUGGCCCUUACGACCAGGGCUACACACGUGCUACAAUGGCAUAUACAAAGAGAAGCGACCUCGCGAGAGCAAGCGGACCUCAUAAAGUAUGUCGUAGUCCGGAUUGAGUCUGCAACUCGACUCCAUGAAGUCGGAAUCGCUAGUAAUCGUAGAUCAGAAUGCUACGGUGAAUACGUUCCCGGGCCUUGUACACACCGCCCGUCACACCAUGGGAGUGGGUUGCAAAAGAAGUAGGUAGCUUAACCUUCGGGAGGGCGCUUACCACUUUGUGAUUCAUGACUGGGGUGAAGUCGUAACAAGGUAACCGUAGGGGAACCUGCGGUUGGAUCACCUCCUUA
rnacentral:rRNA from 1 species